rnacentral:rRNA from 1 species
GACGAACGCUGGCGGCGUGCCUAAUACAUGCAAGUCGAACGCUGAAGGAGGAGCUUGCUUCUCUGGAUGAGUUGCGAACGGGUGAGUAACGCGUAGGUAACCUGCCUGGUAGCGGGGGAUAACUAUUGGAAACGAUAGCUAAUACCGCAUAAGAGUAGAUGUUGCAUGACAUUUGCUUAAAAGGUGCAAUUGCAUCACUACCAGAUGGGCCUGCGUUGUAUUAGCUAGUUGGUGGGGUAACGGCUCACCAAGGCGACGAUACAUAGCCGACCUGAGAGGUUGAUCGGCCACACUGGGACUGAGACACGGCCCAGACUCCUACGGGAGGCAGCAGUAGGGAAUCUUCGGCAAUGGACGGAAGUCUGACCGAGCAACGCCGCGUGAGUGAAGAAGGUUUUCGGAUCGUAAAGCUCUGUUGUAAGAGAAGAACGAGUGUGAGAGUGGAAAGUUCACACUGUGACGGUAUCUUACCAGAAAGAGACGGCUAACUACGUG